GUGUCAGUGGUGCAGUGGUGAGCGCUGUUCCCUCGCAAUGAGUUUCUGGGUUCAAGUCCCAUUCAGGCAGG